UACGAACGGUCCAAACGUUAUUCGGAAUCACUGGGCUUAAAGCGUCCGUAGGCGGCUCGGAAAGUAGGGUGUGAAAUCCCACGGCUCAACCGUGGAAUUGCGCUCUAAACUAUCGAGCUAGAGGGAGAUAGAGGUGAGCGGAACUGAUGGUGGAGCGGUGAAAUGCGUUGAUAUCUGGAGGAACACCGGUGGCGAAGGCGGCAUCCUGGACCGGCAUUGACGCUGAGGCGCGAAAGCUAGGGGAGCAAACGGG
rnacentral:rRNA from 1 species